AUCAACAUCCAUACGAUGUUGAAAGUAACGGUUCUCGUCCGAUUACCGAAGUUAACCAGCAUUGGGAGCGGUCAGUUCUUAAGAAGGUGACCAUAUGGAAACACCGUGGGCUGUUGACA
rnacentral:rRNA from 1 species